rnacentral:misc_RNA from 1 species
GAUGAAGAACGCAGCGAAAUGCGAUACUUGGUGUGAAUUGCAGAAUCCCGUGAACCAUCGAGUCUUUGAACGCAAGUUGCGCCCGAAGCCAUUAGGCCGAGGGCACGCCUGCCUGGGCGUCACACGUCGUUGCCCCCCCAUCUACUCCUUCGGGAUUGCGGGGGGCGGAUGAUGGCCUCCCGUGCGCCUCGUCGCGCGGUUGGCAUAAAUACCAAGUCCUCGGCGACGCACGCCACGACAAGCGGUGGUUGCGAAACCUCGGUUGCCCGUCGUGUGCGGUCGUCGCGCAUCGAGGGCUCGAAAAAAUUGCCGGGCUCCGGCUCGGCUUUCAACGCGACCCCAGGUCAGGCGGGGUUACCCGCUGAAUUUAAGCAUAUCAAUAAGCGGAGGA